AACGAACGCUGGCGGCAUGCCUAACACAUGCAAGUCGAACGAGACCUUCGGGUCUAGUGGCGCACGGGUGCGUAACGCGUGGGAACCUGCCCUUAGGUUCGGAAUAACUCCCCGAAAGGGGUGCUAAUACCGGAUAAUGUCUUCGGACCAAAGAUUUAUCGCCUUUGGAUGGGCCCGCGUUGGAUUAGCUAGUUGGUAGGGUAAAAGCCUACCAAGGCGACGAUCCAUAGCUGGUCUGAGAGGAGGAUCAGCCACACUGGGACUGAGACACGGCCCAGACUCGUACGGGAGGCAGCAGUGGGGAAUAUUGGACAAUGGGCGAAAGCCUGAUCCAGCAAUGCCGCGUGAGUGAUGAAGGCCUUAGGGUUGUAAAGCUCUUUUACCCGGGAUGAUAAUGACAGUACCGGGAGAAUAAGCUCCGGCUAACUACGUG
rnacentral:rRNA from 1 species